ensembl:lncRNA novel transcript
AGGCCCUGCCCACGGGCCCCUUAGCUGCCUCUGGGCGGCAUGUCUGCCGAGGUUCUUCUCUCUAGCUGCGCCGCGCCUUCAGGCUCGCUUCCCCAGGCUGUCUGGUGGGCGGAAUCCGCGCGUCGGUGUUCCUGACCCUCGUGGGUUCCAGUGGAACCCUCCGAAACCCAAAAGGCGCCGCCUCUUAAUGCAAACUGUAGUCACCGACUCGUCCAGUCUGUUGGUAUUCGCGUCGUCCUUUGUGCUGGGCAAAGUAACCGAGAAGUAACGGAGAGCGCGCAUUUUCUACACCUAGAGCUCCCCGAGGGAGCCUGGGCCAGCAAGUCUUUCCAUUCUUGAGAUGCCUUUUCUCCUGGAUUGACAAGUGUUUUAUCCAUUGGUGUCUUAACCCGGGCGAACUCUUUCCAAAUUCCCAUGCCAAACGCAGUUAACAAAUCGAUGAUUUCUAAAUAAGUUUGUACCCUGCACCUAAACCAACGCCAUUUAUAUAACUAAAAUAAAUUGCGUAUUUAAAUGCAUGUCC